rnacentral:rRNA from 1 species
AAUCAACGCUGGCGGCGUGCCUCAGACAUGCAAGUCGAACGCGAAAGUCCCCUUCGGGGGAUGAGUAGAGUGGCGUCCGGGUGAGUAACACGUAGGUAAUCUACCUUUGGGUGGGAAUAACCCCGAGAAAUCGGGGCUAAUACCGCAUAAUGCAGCGGCACCACAUGGUGACAGUUGUUAAAGCGGGGGAUCGCAAGACCUCGCGCCUAAAGAGGAGCCUGCGGCGGAUUAGCUAGNGGUAGGGUAACGGCCUACCAAGGCAACGAUCCGUAGCCGGCCUGAGAGGGCGGUCGGCCACACUGACACUGAAAUACGGGUCAGACUCCUACGGGAGGCAGCAGUCGGGAAUUUUGGGCAAUGGGCGAAAGCC